GACGGAGGGUGCAAGCGUUGUUCGGAAUUACUGGGCGUAAAGCGUGCGCAGGCGGUGAUGUAAGACAGAUGUGAAAUCCCCGGGCUCAACCUGGGAACUGCAUUUGUGACUGCAUCGCUGGAGUACGGCAGAGGGGGAUGGAAUUCCGCGUGUAGCAGUGAAAUGCGUAGAUAUGCGGAGGAACACCGAUGGCGAAGGCAAUCCCCUGGGCCUGUACUGACGCUCAUGCACGAAAGCGUGGGGAGCAAACAGG
rnacentral:rRNA from 1 species